GGUGAACGCUAGCUACAGGCUUAACACAUGCAAGUCGAGGGGCAGCAUGAACUUAGCUUGCUAAGUUUGAUGGCGACCGGCGCACGGGUGCGUAACGCGUAUCCAACCUUCCCGUUACUCAGGUAUAGCCUUGCGAAAGUAAGAUUAAUCCCUGAUGACAUAUGUUUGCUGCAUGGUGAACAUAUUAAAGAUUUAUCGGUAACGGAUGGGGAUGCGUUCCAUUAGGUAGUUGGUGAGGUAACGGCUCACCAAGCCUGCGAUGGAUAGGGGUUCUUGGAGGAAGGUCCCCCACACUGAGACGGAGACGCGGUCCAGACUCCUACGGGAGGCAGCAGUGAGGAAUAUUGGUCAAUGGUCGGAAGACUGAACCAGCCAAGUAGCGUGAGGGAUGACUGCCCUAUGUGUUGUAAACCUCUUUUAUAUGGGAAUAAAAAAGAUUACGUGUAGUCUAUUGUAUGUACCUUAUGAAUAAGCAUCGGCUAAUUCCGUGCCAGCCGCCGCGGUAAGAC
rnacentral:rRNA from 1 species